CGGUUUCGGUUCCCCCGCAAGGGGGCCAAGAGGGAAUCAGGUGAGAAUCCUGAACAGUCCCGCUGCUGUGAGUUCCAGAGAGAUACACAGUUUUAUAAACCACGGUCACUGUGGUGCCAGCAGGCACUAUGGGAAGGCCAAAACUGUGUAGGAACAAGUCAGAAGACCUGCCAAAACC
rnacentral:ncRNA from 1 species